UAAAGAGCUGCCCAAAUUCUUCAAACCCUCUCAAAUAUUCGAGGGCUGUCCACUCACGAAAUGAUCAUCGUGGCAUGUACUCCUCUGAAGCGCUGUCCAAAUUCUUCAAACCCUCUCAAAUAUUCGAGGGCUGUCCACUCACGAAAUGAUCAUCGUGGCAUGUACUCCUCUGAAGCGCUGUCCAAAUUCUUCAAACCCUCUCAAAUAUUCGAGGGCUGUCCACUCUACUCACAUUUCGUGAGGAAUAGACUGGCUCCACUCAAUUAUGUGAUAAUUGAGGAAUGAUUGUAAAUAAGCCCCAUAAAUGCUUUUAUGGAGGCUCGAACCCUUGCACUCAUUAUUCUAAGUGUAAGGACUUUCCCACUGGACCAAAG
rnacentral:lncRNA from 1 species